rnacentral:rRNA from 1 species
GACUCCGGGAGGGGUGUAUUUAUUAGAUAAAAGACCAAUGCCCUCCGGGGCUCCUUGGUGAUUCAUGAUAACUCAACGAAUCGCAUGGCCUUGCGCCGGCGAUGGUUCAUUCAAAUUUCUGCCCUAUCAACUUUCGAUGGUAGGAUAGUGGCCUACCAUGGUCGUAACGGGUAACGGGGAAUUAGGGUUCGAUUCCGGAGAGGGAGCCUGAGAAACGGCUACCACAUCCAAGGAAGGCAGCAGGCGCGCAAAUUACCCAAUCCCGACGCGGGGAGGUAGUGACAAUAAAUACUGAUACGGGGCUCUUUCGGGUCUCGUAAUUGGAAUGAGUACAAUCUAAAUCCCUUAACGAGGAACAAUUGGAGGGCAAGUCUGGUGGAGUAGCGUCCCAAGGUGAGGGGCGGCCUCGGUGCCGUCCCCGCUGUUGGCGCCAGACCGUCGUGGGGCCUCUGGGCCCUCACGCAGUGGGCCUCCGGGACCCGCGAGGUGUUCGGUUACGGGGAAGACCAGCCACCACGAGGGUGCUGGGGAUCCCGAGUGUCAGGCUCCGAGGCCCCCGGGGCUUGCGGCCUGGCGCGUAACGCAUGGAAGAACAUCGUCGGGGGCGUGCGUGCCACGCGCCCGUCAAGGUACAUGCUGAUCCUACCCGCGAGGGGUUGUCUGCGGUGGAGGUCCCGUCCACACGCCGGCGGCACGGAGGGCCGGCGGGGGACCCGAAGCGACGCAGGCGAGAGGAAGACCGGGGACGUCCCGACGUGGUCGUCCGUCCGGUCGGCCUGUGGCCAGCAGCCGCGGUAAUUCCAGCUCCAAUAGCGUAUAUUAAAGUUGUUGCGGUUAAAAAGCUCGUAGUUGAACCUUGGGCCUGGCUGAUCUGUCCUCCUCACCGAGCGCACGGAUUCGGUCGGGCCUUUCCUUCUGGGGAGCCCCAUGCCCUUCGUUGGGCGUGGCGGGGAACCAGGACUUUUACCUUGAAAAAAUUAGAGUGUUCAAAGCAGGCCUUUGCUCGGAUACAUUAGCAUGGAAUAAUAGAAUAGGACAUUGGUUCUAUUUUGUUGGUUUCUAGGACCGCUGUAAUGAUUAAUAGGGAUGGUCGGGGGCGUCAGUAUUCAAUUGUCAGAGGUGAAAUUCUUGGAUUUAUUGAAGACUAACUACUGCGAAAGCAUUCGCCAAGCAUGUUUUCAUUAAUCAGUGAACGAAAGUUAGGGGAUCGAAGACGAUUAAAAUAAAAAAUAGAAACAGGCCCCCCGGGGGGGCUGUAUCCGGUCGUCCACAGUGAGAACUAAUCCGGACCGGCGAUCGCACGGUCCGGGUAACACCAUUCAACUGAAGAACUCCCGGCGCCCACCAAGAGCCCGGGUGAUCUACAGCCACGUCCGGUGGGGGUGACACUCGAUGCGCGGCACCGGCGGCCCUGGAGCCCCGCGGUCUCGUCAGGUGUCUCCACCACCAGACCCAGUCUACAGACUGAACGAUGGUGGGUUGGCAGGGUGCAAGGUCAUCUCCAGCUUCUGAUAUAGUCGAGUCCGGUGUGGUAACACGCUCGGGGGAAACGCAGAUACCGUCGUAGU